CACGUAGGGGGCAAGCGUUGUCCGGAUUUAUUGGGCGUAAAGAGCUCGUAGGCGGCUUAGUAAGUCGGGUGUGAAACCUCCAGGCUCAACCUGGAGACGCCACCCGAUACUGCUGUGGCUAGAGUCCGGUAGGGGAGCGUGGAAUUCCUGGUGUAGCGGUGAAAUGCGCAGAUAUCAGGAGGAACACCAGCGGCGAAGGCGGCGCUCUGGGCCGGUACUGACGCUGAGGAGCGAAAGCGUGGGGAGGCGAACAGG
rnacentral:rRNA from 1 species